UAGUAUCUGUGUUCCUGAGAGUCUGGAGGAGACGCUCAUGGGGAGCUAGUAGACCUCUUUCCCCAGCUCCCCCUUCAGACAUUGAAACGGCAGAUGCUCCCAAGUGGGAAAGAAGUGGUCGUGGCAGGAACCCAUUCAGAGUGAUUCUCUUUCUCGGGUGUGGCAGUUGGGCUAUCCUGGUGCCUGCAGGAAAGGAUCUGAAUGCGCCCAGCUUUGCCAGGACCUUUCCAUGAGCCAGGCCACCGUCCCUGUAGAGAUACGAACUGUUGUUUGCUUGAAACCUUACUUGUUGGAGACAAGAGCCAUCUUUCUUACUAAAACUUGGAUCACGGAAGUUUUGAGGGAAAACCGUUUUCAUUGAAUUCAAGUGUGUAUCGUAACACAUUUAUAGAUAUACCCCCGUCCCAGCUCCUGUCACUGUGGGGGCAUUCAUCUCCUGGGCCGGACAUAAAGUCAGAGCUUUAGUGACUGCUCGCUACGAAACAUACCGAGUGCUUCACACACAGAGUCCAUUUCGUCCUCACAGCAACCCUGCAAGUGCCUGGAAUCCUGCAGGGAGUGUCCCAGAUCCACCGAAUGCAUCGGGUUCUCGGCGCUGCAGCGGAAUCUCUGACAGCCGACCGAUGUGCGAGCUCGCAGGCAGUCCCCUCGGCCAGCUACAGCCCAGGUGGCCUGCCCGAAGGACCAUGGGUGAAAGUUGGAGCAGUGAGAUCAGCGGAACUCGGACUCACAAGUUCCCCCUGGAGCCCUGAGGAAUGGAAGGUGUUCACUCUAAAUUGCCUCCUUUGGAACAAAGGGAUGUGUUUCUUUGGAAAGGUGUCUCCUUUGGAAAACUAGACCGUGCUAACGCCAGCCAGCCUGGGGCAUACCGACAGUGAGACUUCUCAGAGACACCAGAGGAUUCCAUGCUGUGUGUCGGAAUGUGAUACUCUCAGCACCUGGGUGGCUCAGUCGGUGAAGUGUCUGUCUCCAGCUCAGGUCAUGAUCCCGG